rnacentral:rRNA from 1 species
CGACAGCAAUAUGAAGGUCAGGCUGAAGACCUUACCCGAUUAGCUGAGAGGUGGUGCAUGGCCGUCGUCAGUUCGUACUGUGAAGCAUCCUGUUAAGUCAGGCAACGAGCGAGACCCACGUCCACAGUUGCCAGCAUACCCUCCGGGGUGAUGGGUACACUGUGGAGACCGCCGCUGCUAAAGCGGAGGAAGGAGCGGGCAACGGUAGGUCAGUAUGCCCCGAAUCUCCCGGGCUACACGCGGGCUACAAUGGUUGGUACAAUGGGCAUCUACCCCGAAAGGGGAAGGAAAUCUCUUAAAGCCAAUCGUAGUUCGGAUUGAGGGCUGCAACUCGCCCUCAUGAAGCUGGAAUCCGUAGUAAUCGCGUUUCAACAGAACGCGGUGAAUACGUCCCUGCUCCUU